rnacentral:rRNA from 1 species
AUUGAACGCUGGCGGCAGGCCUAACACAUGCAAGUCGAGCGAGUGGCGGACGGGUGAGUAAUGUCUGGGAAACUGCCUGAUGGAGGGGGAUAACUACUGGAAACGGUAGCUAAUACCGCAUACCCUCGGAUGUGCCCAGAUGGGAUUAGCUAGUAGGUGGGGUAACGGCUCACCGAGGCGACGAUCCCUAGCUGGUCUGAGAGGAGGACCAGCCACACUGGAACUGAGAACCGGUCCAGACUCCUACGGGAGGCAGCAGUGGGGAAUAUUGCACAAUGGGCGCAAGCCUGAUGCAGCCAUGCCGGGUGUGUGAAGAAGGCCUUCGGGUUGUAAAGCACUUUCAGCGGGGAGGCGUUACCCGCAGAAGAAGCACCGGCUAACUCCGUGCCAGCCGCCGCGGUAAUAC